AAGCAAAUAUAAAAAAAUCCCCCAAAGUGGGUUUUUGUUUGUUUGUGCUGGAAAGAGAAAAUAGAACAGAUUUUAAAAUUUUGUUUGUUUCUUUCUGUCCUUGCUUUCUUGAAACCCUGCCUGCCCAUGCUGUGAGGCAGAGUGACAAGGACACCCCCACGACAUUCAUUGCUGCGGCUUUUCCGGCUGUGAAUUUGAGUGGUCAUGUGCCUCAGGAGAUUCUGCAUCAUCUGGAAAGAUUUCUAGCUUGGCAAUUUUAUUCUAAUUUUUCAGCUUUCAAGAAAUUUGGGUUCAUGUUCCUCCCAGCCACAGCCUCUGAAGCAUUUAUGGGACAGGAGACUCUGGUGCAAGGGGGAAGGAACGCUCAUCUCCAAGAGGAUCCAGAUGGAUGAAGCAGACUCACCACUAGCCUUAACCUCUGGCCUUGGAGCUUCAGAGCAGAAAGUUGUCCUCUGAUCCAGGAAAGAAACCCAGCCAACACUUUAGAGCAGAGUUCCAGAUCUGGCUCUGACCUUGAGGAUGUGGCAUUUAAUUCAAACAUCCAAGAGUUUUCCCUGAAGGGGCAGAAAAUUCAUUGGUAAAGACACUUGACCCACUCUGUCUGCAAUUCUUCUGCAAUGAAUUGACUCCUGGAUUAAUGGCUCUUUUCUCAAAAGUCUAUUCAAUGUUAAUAAAUCCUAACUGGAUUAUCAUUAUGACUCUUCACUUAUAAUGUGUGACACAGAAAAACAAAUCUUGGAGAGACACAAAAGGCAAAUGAGCUGUUUUCAUUGCUUCGUGGCUACAGCCCUGCAUAUUUCAUUUCUGAUUCAUGGAAAAAAGUAUUCAGCACAUAGCAGUCAGCAAAAUCAUGAAACACCUCAGACCAGGGAGUGAAGUCCCAGUGUCUUAGUCACUUGGGCCUAGAAGGCUGACUUGGAAAGUGCUAAGAGCAGGAAAACUUUGACUUGCUUUGAGGAUCUGCAGCCCCUCUAACCCACUACAGCCUUGUUUAUUUUCACAGCAUAUUUUUGAAGCUUUUUGUAAUGAUUAGGUUUCCCCCACCCCCACCCCACCCCUCCCCUUGCAAAGGAAAAGCACAAACAUAGCACAAAAUGACUUAUUUAAAAAGUUUUUAUAGGGCUGGUGUUGUGGCUCAGUGGUAGAGCGCUUGCCUAGCAUGUAUGAGGCACUGGGUUGGAUUCUCAGCACCACAUAUAAAUAAAUAAAGGUCCAUUGACAACUAAAAAUAUAUGUGUACUAUAAAAUAAAGUAAUUUAUUGGCUUGAGUGACUAAAAUGUCCAAGAGUAGAGUUUUAGGCAUGACUGGAUCCAGGUGCUCAAAUGAAGAAUUAAGGAAUCUUUCUAUCCCUCUGGUUCUCCCUCUGUGGUGACAAAACAGGCCCCUCGAAAUUUUGAAAAACCAGCCUCUACCUCAGAGCAAAGCCUGUCCAAGGAAGGGACAUCACCUUUGUCCUUGGAAAGACCCACAGAGCACUCCUAGGCACAU